rnacentral:rRNA from 1 species
CCUACGGUGGGCAGCAGUGGGGAAUAUUGCACAAUGGGGGGAACCUUGAUGCAGCAACGCCGCGUGGGUGAAGAAGUACUCCGGUAUGUAAAGCCCUGUCAGCAGGGAAGAAAAUGACGGUACCUGACCAAGAAGCCCCGGCUAACUACGUGCCAGCAGCCGCGGUAAUACGUAGGGGGCAAGCGUUAUCCGGAUUUACUGGGUGUAAAGGGGGCGCAGACGGCGAUGCAAGCCAGGAGUGAAAGCCCGGGGCCCAACCCCGGGACUGCUCUUGGAACUGCGUGGCUAGAGUGCAGGAGGGGCAGGCGGAAUUCCUGGUGUAGCGGUGAAAUGCGUAGAUAUCAGGAGGAACACCGGUGGCGAAGGCGGCCUGCUGGACUGCAACUGACGUUGAGGCCCGAAAGCGUGGGGAGCAAACAGGAUUAGAUACCCCUGUAGUC